GUUAAUAUUCCCAAAUUAAAUNAAUUACUGAAUUUUAUCUUUAAACUUUUCUGAAUUUCCAAAAUUGCACAAAUAUCCUGAAGNUUCCUAUAUCUGCACUUUAGUCCCUCCAGAAUUCUUCAAAAUUGCAACAGAACCCCUCAGUUGACCAGACUUUGACCAGGUUUAAUCAAAUGGAUGUGUUAAUGGAAUGCUGCCACGUGUUCUUUCCUUCCCCACCCAAAAUUAGGGUUUCGGAUUGGGGGUAAAGGGAUUUGGGGGCUCCAUUCUAUCUUCGCCUGCUGCGCGAGAUUGGGAGAGAGGUUUCACUCUUUGGAGGCGCGGUGGCUAUGGUGUGAUUUUGGUUUUUCUGUGCAGGUCUGGUUUUGAUGCAGGUUUGGAAGGAGAUCGAAUUACGCUUGGUGACAGAGGACGAAGGAAUCGCGAUUCUAGGGCUGAUGGGAUUCGUAUUUUGCGAUUACUGUUGAGAACUCGCUUCUAGGUUUUGCAAUUGGUGGCAUUGCGAAGAAGAUGAAGGUGAUGAUCCAGAUUCGAAGAAGGUUCGAAUCUGCGAGGCUUGCUAAACUGCGGCAUGGUGACGGCGUCGAGGAAGAAGGUGGCGCGUCAUGGAGGUCGAGGCGUCUUCAUGGAUGGCGCGAUGAUGAUGGAAGAAGGUGACGCGUCGAGAAGCUGGCGGAUCUGGUGCGGCGGCUAGGAUACCUGACGGCGGCUAGGGUUUCUGGUNAGGAAUUAGGGUUUCUGUUGGGGAUGGUGAUGACGUGGCAAGAGGGGCUAGGUGGCAUGUUCUGAGUGGUGUAUUUGGUGNGUAGUAGGAUCAGUGACGUGGCAUUAUCUGGGUGGUUGGAUCUAUUAGUAGUGGACUGCCAUGUGGCUAAAUGUGAUGUAAUCUGGUUUAAUUAGUGGUAAGAGAGGUGUGUAUAGGAAAUUAGGGAUUACAGGAGAGAAAAGGCUUAGUCUGGGCUUGGUUGUUAGCCUGGUUUAGGAGAGAGGGGUGCAUAUAGGGAAUUUUGGGAGGUGCAAGGGUAAAAACUGCUUCUUUAGCCCAUCUGGACACUAUUUAUCAAAUAAAAUCUGAUUUUGGGCUUUAAA